rnacentral:lncRNA from 1 species
AUAGCUUUAUUUCAGGUACUAGUAAGUACUAUGAAGAAAAUAAAGCAGUUUGGGUCCAGGAGUUCAAGACCAGCCUGGCAGCAUAUCAAGACAUCGUUUAUACAAAAAAAAAAGAAAAAUUAGCUGGGCAUAAUGGUGUGUGCCUGUCGAACCAGCUACUCGGGAGGCUGAGGCAGGAGGAUGGCUUGAGCCCAGGAGUUUGAGGCUACAGUGAGUUGUGAUCCCACCACUGCACUUCAGCCUGAGUGAUAAAGCAAGAUCCUGUCUCAAAAAAAAAGAAAAGAAAAGAAAGCAGAAUAAUAUGUUGGAACCUAACCCCCAAGGUGGUGGUAUUAGGAGGUGAGGACUUUAGGAGGUGAUUUGGCCAUGAGGGCUCUGCCUUCUCGAAUGGGAUUAGUGCCCUUAUAAAAGAGGCUUGAGGGAGCCACUUUGCUCUUCUGCCAUUUGAGGAUGCAGCAGCAAGGCACUCUUCAUUCUUGUUUCUGCCCAAACUGUUUCCAGAUCACAAAUAUGAUUCUGUGAGUUCUCUCCUCAGAAACUCCUGGUGAUUCUACACCACCCACAGGACAAAGUCUAGACUCUGCCCUUUCUAACCUGGCCCCAGCCCCCUUUUCUGGCUGUCUUCUGGGUCUGAGCCACCAUCUAGAAAUGGUUUGAAUGGUGAAGUAUUUCAAUUUCAUGGAGCUAACAGAAUAGAUUAUUUAAAAGCAUGUGGGACAUAUGAUCCCAACAUAUUUUCCUUAUUAGCUAUUCA